AGCGAACGCUGGCGGCGUGCCUAAUACAUGCAAGUCGAACGGAGUGGCGCACGGGUGAGUAUUAUAUAGCUAAUCUGCCCCUUGCUGGAGGACAACAGUUAGAAAUGACUGCUAAUACUCCAUAGCAAGGGAUGAGACUAUAUCGUAUCAGCUAGUCGGUGGGGUUACGGCCUACCGAGGCUAUGACGCGUAACGGGUCUGAGAGGAUGAUCAGUCACGUUGGAACUGGGACGCAGUGCAAACUCCUACGGGAGGGAGCAGAAGGGAAUAAUGCGCAAUGGGGGAAGCCCUGACGCAGCAACGCCGCGUGGGGGAGGACACUUUUCGGAGCGUAAACUCCUUUUGUUAGGGAAGCGGUACCUAACGAAUAAGCCCCGGCUAACUCCGUGCCAGCAGCCGCGGUAAUAC
rnacentral:rRNA from 1 species